CCUACGGGGGGCAGCAGUGAGGAAUAUUGGUCAAUGGACGAGAGUCUGAACCAGCCAAGUAGCGUGAAGGAUGACUGCCCUAUGGGUUGUAAACUUCUUUUAUAUGGGAAUGAAAUGUUCCACGUGUGGGAUUUUGUAUGUACCAUAUGAAUAAGGAUCGGCUAACUCCGUGCCAGCAGCCGCGGUAAUACGGAGGAUCCGAGCGUUAUCCGGAUUUAUUGGGUUUAAAGGGAGCGUAGGUGGAUUGUUAAGUCAGUUGUGAAAGUUUGCGGCUCAACCGUAAAAUUGCAGUUGAAACUGGCAGUCUUGAGUACAGUAGAGGUGGGCGGAAUUCGUGGUGUAGCGGUGAAAUGCUUAGAUAUCACGAAGAACUCCGAUUGCGAAGGCAGUUCACUGGACUGCAACUGACACUGAGGCUCGAAAGUGUGGGUAUCAAACAGGAUUAGAUACCCCUGUAGUC
rnacentral:rRNA from 1 species